UUAGGUAGGAGAGUUGAGCAAAAAUAAAAGGAUAAUUCUAUGAUCAAAAGAUUAUCUACAGCAUCUUCUGCAUGUCUUUUCUCAAAACAUUUUAAUCUCACCUGUAGGCUCAAACAUUUUUUUUUAAAUGGGAGCAUAUUCUGCAUAUUACUUUGUAACAUAAGUUCAAAUACAUUAGUAUUUAUAAUAGAUGCAAAUAGAUCAGAGUCUUCUAUUAAAAUAUAGAGUUUAUCAAAGUGGGUUUUAAAAAAUUCAGCUAUAAUUUAUGAGAUAAACUUAAUACAAACUAUAUUAAAAAGGUGAAAAUACAAGGAUCAAAAGAGACGCAUCAUGAAUAUACUAACCUAAAAAAGUCGAUACAGCAAUAUUAGUAUCAGUCAAAAAUAGAAAUUUAAGGCAAGGACAUAAAUAGUGAAACAGAAUGAUUUUAAAUGAUGAUAAAAUGAACAUUCCAUCAAGAAGGUAGAAUAAUAGGCCGGGCACGUGGCUCAUGUUUGUAAGGACUCCCAGCACUUUGGGAGGCUGAGGGGGGACGAUAGCUUGAGGUCAAGAGUUUGAGACCAGCCUGGUCAAGAUAGUGAGACUCUCAUCUCUACAAAAAAUUUUAAAAAAAGGUAGAAUCAUGAACUUAUACACUUCUAAUAACAUAGCCUUGAGCAACCAAGUACAAAUGGAUUUAGAGGAGAAAUGGACAAAUCUGCAAUCACACUGGAUUAUAUAUAUCUGUAUCUAUAUCUACAUCCAUCUAUCUGUCUUCUAUCUAUCAAUCAGAAACAGACUAAAUGUGCCAAAGGUUAAUGAGGAUUAGCAAAUCUGAACACAAUUGACAAGGUUGAUCUGUAUAGAUUAUUAUACACAUAUGUACA
rnacentral:lncRNA from 1 species